UCCUCUCAGAGAAGGUGCGACGUAGCUGACAGGUUCGCUUUAUUUUGGACUUACAAGUCUCCACCUCUCUCCUCUUCGGCCUGUUUUGGAUGAUGGGUGGAGUUUCAGAGGUGGGGUAUGACAUCUAGUGGCGGCGGAGGCGAAUCAGUGGUGGGGUGGUGGUGAUGCGAGAUGGGUUGUUCUCCACAUUUCUUCGCCCCUCUUCAUUUAGUGGUACUGGACGGACUUUAGAUGCAAACACAUUCCAAGUUCGAUCCUUCUGCUGCGAAAACUAAGUCACAUUGUUCUGCUCACCACGGCUGCGGAUACGUCUGUAUGAAAACCCGGGAGAGAGCUUGUCGUGGGCUGCACCUCCCACCCGGAGGUUAGAUCUGUGUCUUUGAUAAAUCCAGGUUUAACCUUUUUUUUCUUCAAAAAAAAUAUAUUUAGAAAGCAUUUACAGUUUUAAAAUAUUUUUUUAAUAAUUGUUUAAUUAAAUAAUAAAGAACAUAAUAUUUUUGCAAAUUAUUUGCCAAUCAAUGCCAUAUGUAUAGUCUAGGUAGUGACAUUGUAAAAGAGUGGCUAGGCACUUAGGCACAUAGAGCAUCCAACUUCAAUCAACACUACAAAAAUAUUUUCUG